rnacentral:lncRNA from 1 species
AAAACUGCCACACUGAUGGGUAGAAGGAAUAAUUCAGUCAAAGCAAGGAUGAAGAAGACUUCAGAAAGAUUAUCACCUUGUAGCCAGUCAGACCAGCUUAUCAUCAAAUAUUUGGUGAAAGGAAAAGCCUGAAUGAAAUGAAUACAACCUUACAGGCAGGAAAAGGUUGAAACGUGGAGAUUGUCUUCAUGCAUCAUGUUGUAUACUUGAGCUUAUUAGCCCCAAAGAAGAAAGGGCCUCUUCGCCAGGUUCCAGAGGUAUUGGACAGUGUUCUCCAAGAGCAUGAAAGGACCUACAAGGUUUUUUAUAUGGAGCAGCACACGAGAUAAUGUUUCAAAUCAAGUUGAAUUCCAGAAACUGCAAAAGUCACUGGGCUCGAGGCAAACCACUUAACCAAGGGGAAAUAAGGUUAGGUCUGGAAUACCUCGGGACAAAGAUGCUCAUAAGAUUUCCAGAACAAAAAUCAAAUACAAUGGGCAAUCUUUAGAAUAACCCGGCUUAGUAAACUGGCUUAGGUCAAGUUUCUGAGCAUGAAAACAUGGGACAUUCCAAAAUGGAUUUCUUCUAUGGAGCCAUUGGAUAUCAGAAAAGAGACAGGGUCUAUGAACUUCUGCAUCUAAGAUAAAUUGGACUCAAACAGUUUUUGAAGUAAUCAGUACCAAAAAAAAGCAGCAGCAGCAGCAGCAGCAGCAGCAGAAGAAGAAGAAGAAGAAGAAGAAGAAGAAGAAGAAGAAGAAGAAGAAGAAAUGAAAGAGAAAAAAAAGAAAAAGAGAUUUCUAUAAAGCAGGAACUUCUAGACUAUAACAUAACGUUUCCUAGACUCCCAAGAACUAGGAUUCAAAAUGUUGGUGUAGAAGGAGUACUAGAUUAAGAGCCAGGAGAUACUUCAGAAAGAGGGAUGAAUUUGUAGUCGGAGAAGAUGGUUUUGAAUCCUGCCUCUGUUGUUUACUCCCUCUGUGACCUUGAAUAAGUCACCUAGCCUCACUAAGCCUCAGUUUCUUCAUUUGGAAAAUGGGGGUAAUAGUAACACCUAUCACAUAAGGUUGCAAUGAGGAUCAAAUGAGAUAAUGUUAUACGAAAGUGCUUGGCAAACCUUGAAGUACUAUAUAAAAGCCACUAUUACUAAUCACUUCAAGAAACUUCUGUCAGGGUUUCAGAAAUAUCAAGCAAAAUAAAAGAAGAAAUGAAUGAUCUUUUAGCUCA